AUUGAACGCUGGCGGCGUGCUUAACACAUGCAAGUCGAACGGUGAAGCAGGAGCUUGCUCUUGUGGAUCAGUGGCGAACUGGUGAGUAACACGUGAGCAGCCUGCCCCUGACUCAGGGAUAAGCGCUGGAAACGGCGUCUAAUACUGGAUAUGUGAUGUGACCGCAUGGUCUGCAUCUGGAAAGAAUUUCGGUUGGGGAUGGGCUGGCGGCCUAUCAGCUUGUUGGUGAGGUAAUGGCUCACCAAGGCGUCGACGGGUAGCCGGCCUGAGAGGGUGACCGGCCACACUGGGACUGAGACACGGCCCAGACUCCGACGGGAGGCAGCAGUGGGGAAUAUUGCACAAUGGGCGGAAGCCUGAUGCAGCAACGCCGCGUGAGGGAUGACGGCCUUCGGGUUGUAAACCUCUUUUAGCAGGGAAGAAGCGAAAGUGACGGUACCUGCAGAAAAAGCACCGGCUAACUACGUGCCAGCCGCCGCAGUAAGAC
rnacentral:rRNA from 1 species